ensembl:lncRNA LINC02207 long intergenic non-protein coding RNA 2207
GGGAGUCAUCUUCACCCUCAGGCUGGUAGACUCCAGUCUCUUAGGUCAGAAUGGGAUUAGAGACCCGUUCCUGAACCAGUCACACACAGCGGGUGAAACUGCUAUGAUUGGUUUAGACUUAGAGACUGGAAUGGAUGCUGCCCAUGAAAGCAUAAAAAGUGACCAGAAACAUCAGCAAAAUUCUGAAAACAACAUCUCAUUGCUGUUUCUGUUUGGAGACGUGUAGAUGUUGACAACAAAAAUAUCCAUGAAAGUACAAGCCUCCCAGCUCCAUCACAUGUCCAAGACUCACUGGAAGUGAGGAGAACCUUUGAGGCCUAGAAGCGAAGACACAUAGAAGCAAUGUGUACCUAGACUGUUGUCCUAAAUGCCAUUUCCUACCAGGAAGGAACCAGAGUCUUUGCAGAAAUGUAUCAUUUCACAUCUGGAAAACAUCGCCCAUUUCAUCUGUUUCUUCAGUCCCCAGAUAGCAGAUGACUGGUAGGAAGAUGAGGCAAGUUUGCGGUCCAUUGUCAUGGAUAGUGGAGACAACACUGGGCCAGAAGUGGUAAGACCUGAAUCCAAGACUCAGCUCUGCCACUUGCUAAAUGGGACUUUGAAUAAACCAUUUCUCUGCACUUAAGUUCCUUACCAACAAAACGAGGGAAGUGGCCUACAUGCCUAGAUAUCAACAUUUCAUGUCACGUAGAGAUCUAGCAUCACAAGAAUCCAAGUCAUCCUCUGUUGCCUUUAAGAAAUUAGAAUUAAAGGAAUCAGAAUUGAAGUGAAUCUGACUACACUAAGCCUAUCACUUGUGACAGCCAUGGGAAGAUAUCAUUGGUUGCUGAGGAGCAGAAAUAAGCAGAGACCUAUUGUGUUAGGUUAUCAUUCAUUUCAGACAAAAAGCAGAUCAGCAAGUUUUCAUAUUGCACUAUUUUCAAUGGCUGGAGCAUCAACAUUUUACAACAAGAAAAAAAUUAAAAUUCUUCAACAUUUGGAAAAGAAGUGUUUGUAAAACUUUUCACAUCCAUUCACCAUCCGGAAAAGCAAGGUUUUACAGUGAGGCCUGAUGAUGUCUAGAGUCACCAUGCAUCUUGGAAAAUGACCUCCUAUUUAUUUCUUCUACAGGACACCAUGGUGUUCACCUUUCUACAACUUUACACUUGCUGAGGACAUAUUGUGGAAAAUUAAGAGAAAUAUAUAUGGAUGGCCAAGGCUGUA